rnacentral:pre_miRNA from 1 species
CCCUGCUGUGGGGGUAUGUGCCCUUGAACUACACUGUGGAAGGCAGCACACUGCAGUCCAUGGGCAUGUACACUUGCUUCAAGG